AUAAAGAAGAAAAUUUCCUUUUCUGCCCUCUUUUGUCGGCACCGUGGGAGAGCUACCACCUCCCAACUCUUCAGCAUGCCGCACUCGCACGUAGCGGUGGAUUUUUGUCUAAUGAAGGAGUCUGCAGCCUAUAAGCCGCCGUGAACAGGAAGUUCUGGCAAAUAUGGAAGGAGGCUAAUCAAGUCCUAAGAAAAACGAAGGCUGUCUUUCAACGCAAUGAAAUAUAAAGGUUCUUCCGUCUCACUUGACACUGACUGAGAAUGAGGCCGGCUGCUGAAAAGCAGGUGUUGAGAAUCUGCAAAGAACGACUAAGAUGGAACGUUGGUGCAGAGGAAAGUUGAUCAGAUGACAUCAGUGAAGUGGACACACUUACAGCUUGAUCCAGAAGUCUGAUUCCAGCAGGAUGAUAAAUGCACAAGAUUUGUUACACAAGACUAUAUGCUGGUAUUUUGUUUGUUUUGAUCCUUGCCAAGACAGUGUUCAACAUUUGGAGCUGUUCAUGCUGCAACUGUGUACUAUAUCACAAUUGAAAUAAGCCAUUUGACUUAAUAAAAUCAUUUUGAAUCAUA